AAAGGGCCACCCACAUUUUUGGCAAUAAAAACCCCACUAAAUUGAAGCAUUUAACCUCAAACUUAAAUGACACCCAUGUUUUCUCUCUUAAAUGAAAUUUGGCCCUUCAUUUGCUUUAAGUUAUGGGAUAUUUACCUAUAAAUAGAGACCUCAUUUCACUCAUUUUUUCUCACACCAAAAGCAAGAGCUUUUACAUACUAAAGAAAGAGUUUCCAAGAGAGAAAAAGAG
rnacentral:lncRNA from 1 species